rnacentral:tRNA from 1 species
UCCGUCGUAGCUCAGUGGUAGAGCGCCCGGCUCUUAUCCGGGUGGACGCUGGUUCGAGCCCAGUCGUCGGAG